CAAUAUGGAACUCAUGGGAUGUGGGUGGCGUGGAAGGACCACCUCUACAGAUGGAGGCACCGCUGGGAUAUGAAGAAGAAGCAGCCAUGAGUUUCUGGAAAGGAUGCAAAGCACCCCGUCCCUGAAUGUCUGGUGUGGACCGUGGAUUCAUCUGUCCAGAGGCCUGAGGACAAAGCCUCUGCUAUGGAACUGUCUGACCUGAUUGCUGCGGAGCUGGCGGGUUCCUAAAAAGUGAUCCAGCUCCUACCCUUGUUCUAUCAGUUAUUGCUGUACUGUUAUUGCUGUACAUUGCUAUAUUGUUAUUGCUGUACAAUUGCUGUACUGCUGGA